GACCAUGGUUCAGCAGUCGAACAUCUGCUUUGCAUGCAGAGGGUCCCAGGUUCAAUCCCCAGCAUCUCCA
rnacentral:tRNA from 1 species